AUCAGAGAGCCUAAACAAACCAAAUUGAAUUCCCGCAAUUAUAUGUGGUCAUGGUUGAUCAAUAUAGGCAAAUUGUAUAGACAUGAAAACGAAAACGUGCUGCUGCUGGGUGCUUGUCAUCCAGCAAGCAAGGCAUCCUAUCCAUGCACAUGGUUCUUCCACUUCCUUUAAAAUGUUUGCAGUGCAACCAUUACCAACAGCAGCCACCAACUUUUUCAGUGAAAGAAACCUCGUUUCUCCUAGGCCCUGUAAAUAUAAAUGCUUCUGGUGGGGAACUCAGGCAUAUCAAUCAGUGCAGCAAGCCACAACACUGUAUUGGCUACAGUGGGGUGCUGUGGUGAAUACCUGGCAACAGCUAUUUGAUGAUCCCCUUGUGAACACAUUUGAAGCUAUUCGUUCGUAGUAUGGUUUGAACAAUAAUCCAACUGUGGGACAGUUUGUAGAUGCCCUGAAGACUAACAUCAGUGCACUUUCUAUCAGAGAUCUGUGUGGAACUAGUUGUGAGGAUGAUGAUGCUACUGUUGUGUGUAACCUACAGUCAUUGUUCAGGGCACCUGAUGCUUCUUCACCAAAUCUGUCCACAAGUCGUGGCAAGGAAACCCCUGAUGAAGUUCCUGAGUUUCCAUGUUACUCAACAAGUACAGAAGGACAUGGUUGCUGCAGUACAUGCUGGUGACAUGGAAGUGUUCUCAGUAGCCUAUGUCAGUGGUUCCAUUGCCAGACAGGUGCUUUGUGGUGUCAGCUGUGAUGCACGCAAGACAUGCGUGACAUCUGAAGUUCUGCUAUCAGCUAGUGUCUUCAUAUAUUUCUGAGACAUUGGUGUGGAGACUGUUGUUAUGCUGUAACUCUAAUAUAAUCUAUGGUGGCAGGCAAUUCAUGUUGCAGCAUAUCACAGCUGCCAUUAAGAACACCAUUGACUUGGAGUGGAUUAGGUGUACUGGUUGUUCACUUCACUGCCAAUGAAAAAUAGAUGGUAUUGUGAGAUGUCUCACAAGAAUUUACAUUCCUUGGUGGUGUAAGCGAACAAACAGGUUG